UAGUUAACUUCAAGAAUCAUUUUAGUGUAUUCAUUUUACUUCUUUCCCUGCUCCAAGAUCUGCUGCCUCCCCCAUCCCUACCUCGACGAUUAGCACCUGUCUACCUCGCUGAUGCUUUCUGUCUCCUUUUGGCACGGUGGUUGUUUGUCUCUGCUCCCUCUUUCUACUCGACGCGGUUCACGGUGUCUCCCUCCCUCGUACUCUACGUGCACUCUCUGAAUCCGAUUUUCAGCAUAUUAAUGGCAAUUUGUUAAGUGUUGGAACAUGGUUUUGAAUGUACGGUGUUAUGUAAACAAGACCAAUUUUGAAAGCUGAGGAAAGAUAGUUAGAUACUUGAUAACAAUUGAGUAUGUGCUCUUUAGGGAGACUCUCAGUGGCUAUGUAUUGAGGGAGUUCAGUUGAUACAAAUUUAUGGGGGCAAGCACAUGCAUAAGCAAACUGUGGUGGACAAGGCCUAAUCUGCAACUUGUGAAGACUUAGUCAUUUGAAUUGAGUUUGUGAAGGUGUAUUUAAAAGUAAUAUGUAGCUUGGAUACCUCAUCAAUUGAGAUUUUUUUGAAUUGAGGUGGCAAGCUGGUUUUUAAUAUGAUUCAUGGAGGCUAAUUAGCAACAAAUGAUUCAUAUGAUGAGAAGUUACA